rnacentral:rRNA from 1 species
UGGGGAAUAUUGGACAAUGGGCGAAAGCCUGAUCCAGCGACGCCGCGUGUCGGAAGGAGUCCUUCGGGAUGUAAACGACUUUUGGUGGAGAUGAAUGAGCAGCUCAGGGAAUGGGGCUGUGAUGACGGUAUCCAUGGAAUAAGCCCCGGCUAACUACGUGCCAGCAGCCGCGGUAAGACGUAGGGGGCAAGCGUUACCCGGAAUUACUGGGCGUAAAGGGAGCGUAGGCGGGAGGUCAAGUCCGGUGUGAAAGACCCUGGCUCAACCAGGGAUGAGGGCUGGAAACUGACAAUCUUGAGUACAGCAGAGGAAGAGGGAAUUACCGGUGUAGGGGUGAAAUCCGUAGAGACCGGUAAGAAGGCCAGUGGCGAAGGCGCUUUUCUGGGCUGUUACUGACGCUGAGGCUCGAAAGCCAGGGGGGCAAACCG